ensembl:lncRNA
GUCCUGUCACCGGUUCGGUUGCAGAGAAUAAACAACCUGUGUGUCAGGCACGCUGACAGAGGGGUUUUCAUCAGCCCUGGGUGGGAGGUGCCUUGUGCACCUGAGGGGCUACCGGGACUCAGUGACAAAGCUAAGAAAGAUUCGAACCCAGGAAGCUGAUGCUGGGUGUUCAUUUUGUGCUGCUGCAGCUCUGGAUGCUGAACAGAGGAGGAAGAAGGGAAGAGAGCCUGGGCAGCUGGCUGGGAAAAGGCAGAGGGUGCUUUCCUGUCGCUGCCUGCUCUUGCUAAGCAUUGGGAGAAGAGGGAGAAUGUGGAAGGAGAGUGCACACCUGGGAGCUGCAUCCACUGGCUGACCAGCAGCUUGGAGCUGAAGCUCAAAGAGAAGUUCUGGAAGGCCUCAAACCAAGCAUCGGAUGAGGCUCUCAUCCCACCCCCCA